ACAAAGGCUCUUUUCAGAGCCACCCACUUUUUCAAGAGAAGAGCCU
rfam:Mesitornis unicolor contig28779, whole genome shotgun sequence.